rnacentral:rRNA from 1 species
ACUGUGGUAAUUCUACAGCUAAUACAUGCGUCAAAGACCGACUCGUGAGGGGAGGUCUGUAUUUAUUAGAUACAAAACCAAUGCACUUCGGUGCUCCUGUGGUGAAUCAUAAUAACUGUUCGGAGCGCACGCCAAAAGCGGCGCUAGUUCAUUCAAAUUUCUGCCCUAUCAGUUCGCCGGCAGGGUAGUGGCCUGCCGGGACAUUUACGGGUAACGGAGAAUUAGGGUUCGAUUCCGGAGAGGGAGCCUGAGAAACGGCUACCACAUCCAAGGAAGGCAGCAGGCGCGCAAAUUACCCAAUCCUGACACAGGGAGGUAGUGACGAGAAAUAACAAUACUGGGCGUUUGUCCGGUAAUUGGAAUGAGUACAAUUUAAAUCCCUUAACGAGGAACAAUUGGAGGGCAAGUCUGGUGCCAGCAGCCGCGGUAAUUCCAGCUCCAAUAGCGUAUAUUAAAGUUGUUGCAGUUAAAAAGCUCGUAGUUGGAUUUCUGGUAUGAUGCGUUUGUCCCGGCUAGCAAUAGAUCGUGUGACUUUGCGCGUCUACCAUCCUUCGCUUCAGAUGUGCUGACGUGUAAAAGCGUUAGCAGCUGUUGUGAUCUUUUACUUUGAAAAAAUUAGAGUGUUUAAAGCAGGCUUGUGCCUUGAAUACAUUAGCAUGGAAUAAUAAUAUAGGACUGGGUUCCUAUUUUGUUGGUUUUCUGGAAUCAAGUAAUGAUUGAUAGGGAUAGUUGGGGGUGCUAGUAUUCAGCGGCCAGAGGUGAAAUUCUUUGAUUCGCUGAAGACUAACUUAUGCGAAAGCAUUCACCAAGGAUGUCUUCUUUAAUCAAGAACGAAAGUUGGGGGAUCGAAGACGAUCAGAUACCGUCGUAGUCUCAACCAUAAACUAUACCGACUAGGGAUUAGCGGAAGUUGCUUUUCGACUCCGUUAGCACCUUAUGAGAAAUCAUAAGUCCUUGGGUUCUGGGGGGAGUAUGGUCGCAAGGCUGAAACUUAAAGGAAUUGACGGAAGGGCACCACCAGGAGUGGAGCCUGCGGCUUAAUUUGACCCAACACGGGGAAACUUACCAGGUCCAGACACAGGGAGGAUUGACAGAUUGAAGUUCUUUCUUGAUUCUGUGGGUGGUGGUGCAUGGCCGUUCUUAGUUGGUGGAGUGAUUUGUCUGGUUUAUUCCGUUAACGAACGAGACCUCGACCUGCUA